rnacentral:rRNA from 1 species
UACGUAGGGGGCAAGCGUUGUCCGGAAUUAUUGGGCGUAAAGCGCGCGCAGGCGGCCGAUUAAGUCUGGUGUUUAACCCCGGGGCUCAACCCCGGGUCGCACUGGAAACUGGUUGGCUUGAGUACAGAAGAGGAAAGUGGAAAUUCCACGUGUAGCGGUGAAAUGCGUAGAGAUGUGGAGGAACACCAGUGGCGAAGGCGACUUUCUGGGCUGUAACUGACGCUGAGGCGCGAAAGCGUGGGGAGCAAACAGG